CAAUAAUGAGGCAACUCUUGGUGGGCUUCUGGAAGGGGGCUGGUCACCAGAAAGACGAGGCCAUUAUUAGAAGCUUGUGAUUUUCAGCUCUACGCCCCAUUCUCCAGAGAGGAGAGAAAGGCUGGAAAUGGAGUUAAUGAUCAAUCAUGCCUAUUUGAGGAAGCCUCCACAAAAAUCCCAAAAGUAUAUUGUUCAAAAAGCUUCCAGCUGCCAGGAAAUGCCCUUGAAUGCUGGCAACCAUCAAUUGCCUUCUGCAGGGGCUGUGGCAACUGGAAGCAUUUCAGCAGAAGAGCACAACAUUCAGUCCUGGGAUGCCUAGAAAAUUCCCCGUCUGACUCUCUCUGCUCAAGAGACUUCCUUUCCAUUAUCACCUUGGCUAUCUUGAUCAUAGCUGGCUGAAUGAAGAAUAAAAUACAGUAACUUUA